rnacentral:rRNA from 1 species
UACAGAGGGUGCGAGCGUUAAUCGGAAUUACUGGGCGUAAAGGGCGCGUAGGCGGCGCGGUAAGUCACUUGUGAAAUCUCUGAGCUUAACUCAGAACGGCCAAGUGAUACUGCAGUGCUAGAGUGCAGAAGGGGCAAUCGGAAUUCUUGGUGUAGCGGUGAAAUGCGUAGAUAUCAAGAGGAACACCUGAGGUGAAGACGGGUUGCUAGGCUGACACUGACGCUGAGGCGCGAAAGCCAGGGGAGCAAACGGG